rnacentral:tRNA from 1 species
GAGUAAAUAGCUCAACGGUAGAGCUUUUCGCUUACAACGAAAAUAGUGUGGGUUCAAAUCCUACUUUACUCA